GUGGGGAAUAUUGGACAUUGGGCGAAAGCCUGAUCCAGCCAUGCCGCGUGUGUGAAGAAGGUCUUCGGAUUGUAAAGCACUUUAAGUUGGGAGGAAGGGCAGUAAGUUAAUACCUUGCUGUUUUGACGUUACCGACAGAAUAAGCACCGGCUAACUUCGUGCCAGCAGCCGCGGUAAUACGAAGGGUGCAAGCGUUAAUCGGAAUUACUGGGCGUAAAGCGCGCGUAGGUGGUUUUGUAAGUUGGAGGUGAAAUCCCCGGGCUCAACCUGGGAACUGCCUCCAAAACUGCAUGACUAGAGUACGGUAGAGGGUAGUGGAAUUUCCUGUGUAGCGGUGAAAUGCGUAGAUAUAGGAAGGAACACCAGUGGCGAAGGCGACUACCUGGACUGAUACUGACACUGAGGUGCGAAAGCGUGGGGAGCAAACAGGAUUAGAAACCCCAGUAGUCC
rnacentral:rRNA from 1 species